AUGCAUUACUAUAUAAGUAAACAUGCUCAGAAGAGCAGGUCUUUGUUUCCUCAGACGUUUCAUCUUUUGUCCACUACAAUUUUGGCAAACACAACUAAGUUUGGACUGGCCUCCAGUACAGACAUGUUCCCAGUAGUCUGGUCCAGUUGGUCAGACUCCUGCUCUCAGACUCAGGUGGCUGCCCCUGCGCUCUCCAUCCCUGGAGACUGCGGUGUCCCAGAUGUCCUUGUGCCAGAAGCACUGCUCUAAAGCUUCCUUUCGUCUGGCCGCGGCUGGGCUCGAGCCAGCUUUGGACGAAGCGCCGGAGGGAUGGGGCGAGCCCGCUGGAUGAGCGAGCUCUGACCUGGAAAACAGUGGCUCCCAUUGAGAAGGACGAAGUGGAUCCGGCAGUGGCAGGCUGUCAUGUCGAGGCAUCAGCAGGAAGCCCCCAAACCCCUACGUGGGCCAAAUUGUGGGCAAGUGCAUCACCGCUGAUCCCCGAGUGAGGCCGAGGGACCUGCUGCUCCUUGAGGGAGAUGCUGGUGAGCUACACUGUGUUGUUGUCUUCCCAUUGGACUGCUGGGAAAGUCGUCUUAAUUGUGAUGAAGCCAUCAGCAGGAAGUGGCUGAGAAACAUUGCCAGGGGAUGUCCGGGGAUGUCCGGGGACGGCGCUGGGCAAAGUUUGGGGCAAAGAAUGGGUGGGACUCGGCCUGCUGGACAGGAGGGAACCUCAGACGAGGGAGAAGGCCCAAGAGUGAGGAGAUGUCCUGGGCCAUAAAGAAGGGGGAGAAUCCUGGAAGGCCUCCUGGAAGCAAGGCCACGGCCCCCGGCCAGGUUCCCCUGUAUCCAGGCCCAGAAAACGGGCAGCUGCCCCGUUUUAGCCAGACCCAAUGACCAGAUCAGGCCUUCAGUGUUUGUGUGCUGCUAGGGGAGAAGCGGGCCCCUGGCAGCCCCCCACAGUGUAGGACUCAGGAAACGGGUGGGGUGUGGAGGGGCCCCCCAGUCAAACCCUUGAGCUCACGCAUGUGUACACACACAGACACACAGACACACACACGAGCUCCUCUCCUGGCAGGCUCUCCACACAGGUGAGCUCAGUUCUGCUGGCCCGAAGCCCACCACGGAGGGGGUUGGGGACCUUC
rnacentral:lncRNA from 1 species